UACGUAGGGGGCUAGCGUUGUCCGGAUUUAUUGGGCGUAAAGAGCGUGUAGGCGGCCAGGUAGGUCUGCUGUGAAAACUCGAGGCUCAACCUCGAGACGUCGGCGGAAACCAUCUGGCUAGAGUCCGGAAGAGGAGAGUGGAAUUCCUGGUGUAGUGGUGAAAUGCGCAGAUAUCAGGAAGAACACCCGUGGCGAAGGCGGCUCUCUGGGACGGUACUGACGCUGAGACGCGAAAGCGUGGGGAGCGAACAGG
rnacentral:rRNA from 1 species